rnacentral:misc_RNA from 1 species
GAAAUGCGAUAAGUAAUGUGAAUUGCAGAAUUCAGUGAAUCAUCGAAUCUUUGAACGCACAUUGCGCCCCUUGGCAUUCCGAGGGGCAUGCCUGUUCGAGCGUCAUUAUAAAAUCUCAAGCGUCUUGCUUGGUGUUGGGUCUUCGUCCCUCCCCCAUGAAAAGGGGGGCUGGACGUGCCUGAAAAUCAGUGGCGGUGCCACGAUGGUCUCAAGCGUAGUAGACUCUCUCUCGCUUUGGAUGGCUUGUCGUAUGGCUCACCAGCCUCAUCAUUAGAUGAACUUCUGAAAAGGUUUGACCUCGGAUCAGGUAGGGAUACCCGCUGAACUUAA